GCUUGCCCAGCGUCUUGCUGAGCUCGGCGUUGUGCAAGUGCGGGUACUGGUCCGCGAGCUUCCUGCGCGCCGCCUGCGCCCACACCAUGAAGGCGUUCAUGGGCCGCUUGACGUGCGGCUUGUUCUUGCUGGAGCCGUUGACGCGCACCGGCAUGGGCACCAGCGUCCAGUCGUAGCCUUUGAGCACCUGGCUGACCGCCUCGCGGAUGCACACGGGGAACUUGUCCUCCUCGCUCUCUUUCUUCAGCCAAAAACAAUCCAUUGAUACACUUGGUGACAUUAAUUGAGAAAAAAACAAUAUGGUCUGGCCAUGGAGGCAUGAUAUCCGUAACAUCCCCCAAAGGAGCUAAAGAAGAAAUCCACAAUUUACCAUGAGCAUUUCUCGUCUAAUGAUUGCCAAGCGAUUCCUCCAGGACAUUCCUCAAGAUCAAUUUCUGUUCAUCCACCUUGUCCUGGGAGGGACAUCAAUGGGUUUCCAUGUCCUUUGGCUUCUGGUUGAGUUCACUCAGUGGAGAACCCUGGCAAGAGGCAGGAAAAGGGGAGGAAGGUGAAAACCAUCCAUUUCUUGGAGAAGUGCCACGGUGGGGUUGCAAGUCCCAGGAUCAAGAUUUCGAUGUGUCUCUUUUUCCCGUAAAGUGGCUGAAAUCUGAAGCUGAAUCUGCAAGUGUCAUGGAGUCAUUGAAUCUCACAGUCUCAACUGAUAAAAGUUAUUAAAGGUCGUCUGGUUCAGCCUUCUACUUGAUGUGGAAAUCCUUUCUACAGUAACUCUGUGUGG
rnacentral:lncRNA from 1 species